rnacentral:lncRNA from 1 species
AUCUUUAAAAAGUGGCCUGUUGGGGUGCCUGGGUGGCUCAGUUGGAACUUCAGGAUCUGACGGACUGGACAGGAAAGAGACACUCCUCUG